UGUACCUUUAACAAUGAGUAUGCUAUAGGCUCCUGUAGGCAUAUAGACAGUGCAUCGAACUUUGCUUGAAGUACGGCUUUUUCUGUUACGUCUUUCUUUUGUACUGCUUUGCUCGAAACGUUUUUGUAAACCUAUAAUCAUCCGAGAAUACAGUGAUUGACAACCAGCACAGAAAACGUAAACGUUGCUGAUUUAUUUCGGCGGAGCAGAAAACAACAGACUUGCGAGGACAAUUAUGAUUAGCUUAAGUGGGUUAAGUCUAGCAUCGCAAAACUCACUCAGGUGCGUUUACGUUGAAUUAAAGUUUGAAAUGACUCUACUGCCACCCGGUGAAAAUGCAGUGGCUGUCCAUAUAAGAGAUGAGGUGCGAGUCGUUUUAUCGCAUCAUAUCACUCAUAGCGGUUGACCUGUUUUGUUCGGGUCCCUGCCUUCGACAGUUGACAUUUUUUCCCAGCCCCCAGGAUGAUUGAUGGCGCAUGGACUUGGACCGACACGUGAGGAGCUUUCACUCAUCUUUGAUAGAUCCUCUGGUGCUGUCUGCUCCACUCACUGCCUCGCAUUUUAAACAAGGUCCACACCAACAGCCCUGGGUUCAGGAGAUUACACUGCUACUGCCCCUUGCACUUCUAAAAGGAUUAUUCCUUCUCAACAGUUGCCAUUCUGAAAAAAAAUGCUUUCAUGAAAUCACAUGCUUAUAAAGGAGGGAUCGUUAAUUUGUGCAGAUUUAUAGGAGCCAUCCGAGGCCAUAAGGGCACGCCAGAGUCAGAGGUCCUAAAAGCGUGUAUAUUUUGACAGAUGUGUUCCACGUGUUUCAUUUUCUGACUUGUUUCAUGUUAUGAUUGAUUGGGUUUGGAUUCAUUAAAUAUGGGCCAUAGCAGUGACUGAAGUUAUAAUUGCUACGGAACAGUUUGUUUUGUGAAGAAGUUUGGUUUCUAAAGCUGUCAGUCACCAUGUGGGGAGGUGGGGAUGUUUGAAGCAGGCCAAACUCUGCUAGUCACUGAUGUAGCAUUCGCGAUGGUAGUGAGAGAGAGUGUGCAUUCUGUGUGUGACUGCAGAGAGCUUUGCAACAGGACCCAUUUCAUGUGUCAAACAAGCGGCAGCACCACCUCAACAAGCACCUGUACCGGCCCUCCACCUUCCUUGCGUCCUACGAGCCAUCCGUCUUCAUGGAGGAGGAGGACGAGCGCGCCGCCUAUUACAGCAGCCUUCAGGACCCCUCGGCCGACGACUACAUGGCGAUCGAACCAUUUGACAGGUAGAGUUGGAGCGGGGCAUCAGAGGUCACGACCUCUGCUGGGUCUCCUCCAUCCCCAGAGCAGGUC